GGCAGCUUUAAUUCUAACAGCCCUUUCCUCCUCAGUCAAUGGAACCUCACCCCGAUCAGCAGGAUGAUACAUCAACAAAUUCUUCGCCGUAUAAUUCCAUCCUUCCAACGUACUAGGAGGUUGAUAAGAAGUACCAUACCCAUCAGUUAUCCUAUCCCUCUUUUCAUCCUCAACAGCAUCCCCAUUCGCAUUCGAAUUCACACUAUCUUCCAAAUAACCAAACCUCUCUUUCCUCUUCCUAUUAACUCUCUCCAAAAUCUUCGAAAAACUUUGAUUAUCCUCACUUGUAUACCUCCCCAAAAACUGAUCAAGCCCAAGAUUCGUAUCCACACCACC
rnacentral:lncRNA from 1 species